rnacentral:rRNA from 1 species
GCGUAAAGCGCACGUAGGCGGCUUCGUAAGUCUGGUGUGAAAUCUCACGGCUCAACCGAGAGGCUGCACCAGAUACUGCGAAGCUCGAGGACGGGAGAGGAGAUUGGAAUUCCCGGUGUAGCGGUGAAAUGCAUUGAUAUCGGGAGGAACACCAGUGGCGAAGGCGGAUCUCUGGCCCGUUGCUGACGCUGAGGUGCGAAAGCUGGGGGAGCGAAAGGGAUUAGAUACCCCUGUAGUCCCAGCCCUAAACGAUGGGCGCUAGGUGUUGGGGGAUUAACCCUCAGCGCCGAAGCUAACGCAUUAAGCGCCCCGCCUGGGGAGUACGGCCGCAAGGUUGAAACUCAAAGGAAUUGACGGGGGCCCGCACAAGCGGUGGAGCAUGUGGAUUAAUUCGAAGCAACGCGAAGAACCUUACCAGGCCUUGACAUACUAGGGAACCUAGGUGAAAGCCUGGGGUGCCGCGAGGAGCCCUAGCACAGGUGCUGCAUGGCCGUCGUCAGCUCGUGUCGUGAGAUGUUGGGUUAAGUCCCGCAACGAGCGCAACCCCUGCCGUUAGUUGCCAGCGGGUGAGCCGGGCACUCUAACGGGACUGCCUGCGAAAGCAGGAGGAAGGCGGGGACGACGUCUGGUCAUCAUGGCCCUUAAGGCCUGGGCGACACACGUGCUACAAUGCCCACUACAGAGCGAGGCGACCUGGCGACGGGGAGCGAAUCGCAAAAAGGUGGGCGUAGUUCGGAUUGGGGUCUGCAACCUGACCCCAUGAAGCCGGAAUCGCUAGUAAU